UUACCGAGUUAUACAACUCAUCAACCCUGUGAACAUACCUAAACGUUGCCUCGGCGGGAACAGACGGCCCCGUGAAAACGGGCCGCCCCCGCCAGAGGACCCCCUAACUCUGUUUCUAUAAUGUUUCUUCUGAGUAAAACAAGCAAAUAAAUUAAAACUUUCAACAACGGAUCUCUUGGCUCUGGCAUCGAUGAAGAACGCAGCGAAAUGCGAUAAGUAAUGUGAAUUGCAGAAUUCAGUGAAUCAUCGAAUCUUUGAACGCACAUUGCGCCCGCCAGUAUUCUGGCGGGCAUGCCUGUUCGAGCGUCAUUACAACCCUCAGGCCCCCGGGCCUGGCGUUGGGGAUCGGCGGAGGCCCUCCGUGGGCACACGCCGUCCCCCAAAUACAGUGGCGGUCCCGCCGCAGCUUCCAUCGCGUAGUAGCUAACACCUCGCGACUGGAGAGCGGCGCGGCCACGCCGUAAAACCCCCAACUCUUCUGAAGUUGACCUCGAAUCAGGUAGGAAUACCCGCUGAACUUAAGCAUAUCAAUAA
rnacentral:rRNA from 1 species